UGGGGAAUUUUGGACAAUGGGCGCAAGCCUGAUCCAGCCAUGCCGCGUGAGUGAAGAAGGCCUUCGGGUUGUAAAGCUCUUUCGGUUGGGAAGAAAUUGCUUCGGUUAAUACCCGGAGUAGAUGACGGUACCAGCAUAAGAAGCACCGGCUAACUACGUGCCAGCAGCCGCGGUAAUACGUAGGGUGCGAGCGUUAAUCGGAAUUACUGGGCGUAAAGCGUGCGCAGGCGGUUGUGUAAGUCAGAUGUGAAAUCCCCGGGCUCAACCUGGGAACUGCAUUUGGGAGUGGACGGCUAUAGGGUGGCGGAGGGGGGUGGAAUUCCACGGGUAGCAGUGAAAUGCGUAGAGAUGUGGAGGAACACCGAUGGCGAAGGCAGCCCCCUGGGCCAAUACUGACGCUCAUGCACGAAAGCGUGGGGAGCAAACA
rnacentral:rRNA from 1 species